GCGACACUGGCUGCAAAUCAGUGUUGUUGUUUUUUUUCGGCUCGGACGCGAUACACGUCAUUGUAUCCAUUGCGCGUGCUCUGCUGUCAGCUUAUAAAAGUUAGUUAUCACUGCUGCAACAAUGCGACCGACUUAGCCGAAGCACCGAGGCGUAUAAUCGGCUCUAGACAGCACCGAGGAGGAGGUCUGCAGAGGGAAUGACACAUGGCUUGAGAAUGAAUGGUCACGCUCGCCAUGCAGCUCGUGAGUGUUCAGAGACAGAGUGUCUUCAACUUCAGCAGGACCAGAGUGCUAAAGGGGAAAGGAUCAAUAAGGAAACCGGAGAGCUAAGUGCUUCAGGGGAGUUAUCCGUCUCUGUGGAGUUAAAGGUGGAGGGCUCUUGUAGCAAUCCUCAACUCCCUCAAGUGCUCAAAGAACAACUACGGGAGCUGGGAAUUCACACGUACUCGAGUCCUGACCACACAACUGACCAUGUCCCGUUAGAGCAGAGAGAGGAACAUCUCGUCAAAGUCCUGCCUCUCUACAUACAGGUCUGUGAGGAUGGCGGCAGACUUGAAGGUCUGAACAUAAAGGGGCUUGCAGCUCUCACUGCUGAUACUGUCAUCCAUAACAUCCACAACAGACUGGCUGAAAGACCUGCAGAGGGGGCUCGUGGUGAGGUGGUGCGGUUCUUCCAGAGGCAGGAUACCAAGGAGACAAACUGUGAGGCGACAGACAAUCAAGGAUGGCUGCUGUUAAAGUCUCUGCUGCUGCUGACAGCCGACAGCUCGGAUAUAUUGUCCUGUAUGAACCCCGGGCUCCCUGCUGCUUUGGUGAAAUGUCUGUACCUGCUAGUGUGCCUUCCAGCUGAAAAGGAGAACUUGGCCAAAGAAGAGACAUUUCAGGAGCCGCUAACGCAGGUUCUCCUUCAGCUCUGUAGGCAGCCAGUCAAUGUGGAGAGACUGGUGGAAACUCAGGAGCUGCAGUGUCUAAUCAUUGGCCUCACAUCACUAUGGGACCAGACCAGCGCUACAUGGAGACAUCAGGCCUCCCGUGUCCUCAAGGCAGUCUCUGCUGCAGCAACAAGCAACACUGUCCCGAGCUUGCAAGGCAAGAACUGUGUUCGUAUCUGCAUCCAGAACCUGUUGCACAUCAGUGCUGAUGUCUCAGGGUCGCUGCUGGCUGAGGUGGCUGUGGCUGUGUUCAGCUUCAUUAGGGACACCUAUUCUCUCAAUCCAGCCCUCUUUGUGGAGUUUGACAACAAUGAUGGCUACAAGGCCCUUGACAUCAUCCUGAAACGCUGUGAGGAAGGUGUUUCUGUGGAUCAGUUGCAGCCUGUGGAGGAGUUGCUGGCCCUCAUUGCAUCUUUCACCCUGCUUGGAAAAACUGAGCUGAAAGUUGCUCUUUGUGUGACGAAUCCCCAACCUCCAGCCUUCAAGUUUGACCCGUCUCUCACCAAAGGUUUAGCAGUGAAAAACCUGCCCGCCUUCCACCUGCUGCAGGCUUCCUUGCUGCGUUCUCACGAUUCUCUGCUGUGCUGCCAGCUCCUUCGAACCCUGCAGACAAUAUGGGAGAGGGACCCAGCCAAUUUCUUCCUCUUGGAGUGGACUGUCCAGUCGCUGGCCCAGCUGGCUGCCUGCGUGUGGCGUAAACCAGCACCGGUCCAAAAACUAUUCUUUUCACUGCUAGAGAUGGUGAUAUUUAAGUUGAACUACAUCCCCCAUGAGACCUUGCGGGCACUGCUGGUUGUGCUGAAGCAGAGCUGGUCUGGGACACUGGCUGGAGGAGUGGCAGGGAUAGAGUUUGCAGUGGUGGCUCUCAAGUGUUUCCACAGGAUGACGGUGCACAGUGGUAUGCUAGUGGAGGCGCUGAGUGACUGGGGCCUGCUGGAGCUGCUGCUCAGCGAAAUUCGUAGGAGAGCUAAAAUCCUCAGGAAGGCUGGAGUUGUCUCUUCCCCUCAAAUCAAUCCCCAGCAGCUGCCAUGUGUGGAGGACAGUGAGAGACUACUCACUACCUGUAUGCUUCAAGUUGUGUCAACCCUUACUCUGCGCUCAAUCAAAAACACAAUUUCAGUGCGAGACCUUGGUAUGCUUCCCUACAUAAAGAUCUUCUUGGAUGAGGCUCAAUAUCGAGGUCCCACUCUGAGCAUUUUGGAGCAGCUAGCUGAAAUCAACCCGGAGGAGUUCAUGAGUACAGCCAUAGGAGCUCUCUGCUCCUCUACACAGCAGGAACUCAGUUUGAAGCGGGACCUUUUGCAGUCCGUGCGGAAGGUGCUGGAGAGCCCCAACAGCUGGGACGCCUUCAGGAGAGCAGGAGGCUUCACCGGACUGCUGUCUGUGGUGAUCGACAUGGAAGGAGCUCUGUGUGACCCUCCCCGGGGAGAAGUGUGGAAGUCUCUCGGGCACCAACCGCUGCUGGACCUCCUCCUCCUCACUCUCCACAUCCUGGCCUUGGCUGUGCAUCUUCACACAGUAAAUGCACACCAUUUUGAGACUGGUGGCUUUUAUGAAAGGCUGGCAGAGGCUCUUCUCCAGCUGGGCUGCUUCCAUGCAGAAGGCCCUGAGAAAGAGACAUUUGAUGAAGACGAGGGCUCCUGUCUCAAGACUGCAGAGGACAACCAGUCUCCUGGAAAAAGCUUUCACCAGUUUGUCGAGUUUGCAGAGGCCCCUGAAGCGCCCUCCUCUCCCUCCACCACACCGCAGCCCAAUCUGCCUGUCUCUCUUCGAACAUGUAUAAGGCUGCUCUCGUAUCUCGACCAGUUCGCCACAGGAACCUACUCUCCUGUGGAGUUAAACUUGGGACUAGAGCCUGAGGAUGGGUGUGACGGAGAUAAAGAGAAAGUAAAUGGACCAACACGGCAUGAAGGAGUGUAUUCAGGGUCCCCUCCUGUCCACUUGGGAUCAGGCCUGCAGUCCGUGGAGGACACACACGGAAGAUCCAGAAACACAGCACCCAGUAUUUCCUCAGUCUGCUCAGAGUCUCAGUACAGUAGGUUCAGCUGCAAUCAUGUUAUUCUUCAUCCAGGAGCAAUCCGUGUUAUCAUGACUCUCCUUCCAUCAGUAUUUACUCCCGAGGACCCACAGCUGUCUAUGGAGGUCCAGUUUUCACUGGCGCACCAUGUCCAGGCAAUGGUUAAAUCUGAGCGAAACCGCCAGAUAGUGUGCGAAGGGGGGCUGGUCUCCAUACUCCUGGCCCACUGUCGGAGCAUGUUGCUGGCUCCAAACCACCCGUUACAUCUACCUGUUACUCGUAUCUUGGAGAAGCUCACCUCCCAGGCCGUCACACCUUCAGACUUCAGAAAGCUCCUGUGUUUAGGGGACCCGCUCAUGUGCUGUGCAGACAAAACGGCCAUGCUACGAGAACAUGCACCACUGGUCAAACCUCCUGUUUCAAAUGAUCAAAGUACAGAAGCAGAUGUCUCAUCAGGGUCUUCAGUUAAGAAACUGAAGCGCACUUUCAGCUUGUUAAAGUCUACAACUCGCAGUGAAUCCUUUGUUGGUCCGGCAAUCCCUGUCCACCAGAUCGUCAGUCUGGUGACCAUGACGUCGCCGCGCACCUUCAGACCACACCGAGUCUCUUCCUCACCUGCCUUUGUUGAGUUUGACAUGAGUGAGAGUGGAUAUGGCUGCCUUUUCCUGCCCUCUCUGGCUACAGUGAAAGGAGUGACUGCUGAUUCAAUUUCAACAGGUGGAAUUGGAGGAGAAUGCCGGGGUUUUCCCCCUUCAGCUGGUCUCUCAUUUUCCUGCUGGUUCCAGAUCAACCGCUUUAGUUCAGCCUGUGAUUCCCACCAAAUCCGUCUCCUGUCAGUGGUUCGCCACAUGUCCCGGACUGAACAACAGUACAUCUGUCUGUCUAUCUCCUUCUCAGCCUGUGACGGCUGUCUGGUUAUCUCCACAGAGGAGGAAGCAUUUACAUACCUGGAUAUGAUGGAGCCAGAAGUUUGCUCUCCACCUUCUUUGCCUACAUCACUGAGGUUCCGCUGCUCCAGCAUGCUGGUCCCAGGUCAGUGGCACCAUCUGGCUGUGGUUAUGGCCAAAGACAUGAAGAAGACCUGUAUUGCUUCAGCCUACAUCAACGGCAAGGCAGUGGGGACAGGAAAGAUGAAGUAUAUUCAGCCAUUCCCGGGUCAGUAUGUCUCCAUGGACCCCGCAGCUGUGAUUGAUGUGUACGGACUGAUAGGAACUCCAGCUCUCUGGAAGGAGCAUGCUGCUCUAGUGUGGCGAGUGGGUCCAUCUUUCCUGUUCGAAGAAGCUUUGAGCCCUGAGGCCGUGAGUGUCAUGUACAGACAAGGCACCGCCUACCAAGGCAACUUCCUGGCUCUGGGCAACAAAGGGCAUGAUCCAGAUGCUGAGUCUCUCCCUCUCAGGCUGGUUCCCGAGGAGAGGAUCUCAUUUGGCAUCAACCCAGCAAUUUCUACAUUAACAACUGUCGUGCAGAUCAGAGAAAAUUACAAUGAGGUGGACUGCAGACUGAUUGCUAAAGAGAUGGGGAUAACAAGCCGGGAUCACUCAACCCCUGUGUUCCUAGCUCAAAACAUCAGCCAGCACCUGAGCGGUACAGCUCGCACCAUAGGAGCAGCCCUGGUUGGACAUUUUGGUGUGCGUACGUUCACCCCCUGCAGUGCAUCCAAUGGCUUCCUGUACGUCGGCGGACCUGCAGUUGUUCUCAGUCUAGUUGCAAUGGCGCCAGAUGAUAGCUCUCUGUAUGCAGCUGUCAAAGUUCUUCUCUCUGUGCUGGAGACCAACUUUGCCAUGCAGCAGGAAAUGAACCGAAUCAAUGGAUAUAAGCUGCUAGCGUUCCUGCUGAAGAUGAAGCACAAUCUGGUCAGCUACAGAACCUUUCAGUUGGUUCUGUAUCUCUCCAGGUCAGUGGAGCUGAGCUCUGGGUCCGGUUGCAUACAGAACACAGCUGCUUUCCAGGCCCUGCUGUGUGACCUGGAGGUGUGGCAGAACACAUCAGAUAAUCUCGACCUCUCAGUUCUGAACCACUUUGCUGAAAUCCAGAAUUCCUCAAGCAGUGACAGCAGGAAUGCAGCGGUCAUGCAUAGUGUGGGCCUGCUACCAAAGCUGCUAUUCGAGCUCUGUGAUCCAGCUGUGACCGUUGAGAAGGUUAAGAUCAUUUCUUGUGUCAUCACAUCCCUCCUAAAAGCUCACUUGACCCCUCUGGACACAAGCAGGCUUGGGCUCUUCCUGGUCUACACACUCCCUCCUCUUAGUAACAUGAAUGAAGGCUGCAAUAAGAUAUAUGACGGCGAUCUUUCACAGGAUACACCAGCGCAGAGGUCUGAUCCAGACAGCCUCAUCUGGAUCCGCAACCAGCUCUUACGAUGUCUUUGCGAAAUCCUCAACUCGGACAGCCUUCUAAUGGAAGAUCGGCAGAAGGCCUUGUUCGAUGCCCUGGGCAGUGAUUGGUUCCUGCUCUUCCUUCAGCCCCACCUUCACCCAUCCACCUUGAAACUGGGUCUCGUCCUGCUCACACACUUUCUGUCGAGUCCCAGCCAGCAGAGCAGCUUCAGAGAGGGGGUACUCCCAGCAACACUCAUAGAGGGCAUGGAGGAACCCCUUGCUGUCUUAGACAACCUGCGAGCCCAUUCUUGGUCUUUGGAGUGCCUCAGCACCACGUGCCCAGGCUUUGAUGUUCUACAGGGGCUGCUGAUCAGACACACUCACCUGCCUCAGGUGUUUGAAGCCCUGGCUUCUCUGCUGCUGGAGAAGAAGACCAGUCACACUGCAGAGGGAAAGGUGCAUUUGGAUGAUUUCCUACAGUCAUUGAUUGACAGCCAAGCAGACACUCCUGCUCAGCAGCUCUGUGUUGAAGCUGCAACAAUACUGCUGGCAUUAGUCAAAGCCAUCAUCACUAAGCCUGUUCCUCCAACAAAGGACAUGCCAGGCACUGAUGCAUCAUGGGAGUUGCAGCUCCCAGCAAGUGUGAUGCAGUUCCUUUGUCUACUCCAUAACCUGCGGCCCAGAGACCCACUGUGGGCGUCACCAGAGUUCCUCCAUGCACUCGCUGGAGUCGUGUAUCCUCUGGACAUUUCAGAGGAUGUGGUUGAGCCUCGCGUAGUGAGUGAAGGUGAGAACUCAUUCAAGAGUCCUCCAAAAGGGAAGCCGGUGUGCGACUUCAUCCGUAUUCUGCUAAUGGACAGUCUUUUUAAUGUGUCUGCCAACACCAACACACAUCCUCUCCUUCUGCUGCUGGAGUUUUCCCCUGAAGGUGCAUCGCUGGAACAGACGCAGAGUUUCCAGACUGAGCUGCUGGAGUUGACCAUGGACAUCUUCCACAUGCUCAGCCAUGAGGAAGAAAACAACACUCAUCUCAUCUCACAAGACGGCAAGAGUCAGACGCCUGAAGGCCAGAUGGGCAUGUUGAUGGAGAAUGUGGUGUUCUUCAGUAAGACUCUGCAGCAGAAACUUUACAGCGGAACAUUCUUGGGAGACUCUGAUAGUUUGAUCAACUUCCUCGCAGAUCAGAUUGUUGUGGCUCUGGAGAAAGGCCAAACUCAGAAAGAGAAGACUGUGUCUGCACUCUACUCGUGCACCAAUAAAGUCCUGCUUCACCUCUUGUCUCAACCGCGGCGUUCCCAAGAAGAAAAGGACUGCGUCAUCAGGGCAUUGCAGACCUUCAUGGAACGCUGGGAUGUUGUCAUGGCGACUUACAAUGCAAACGUGAACUUCGUUACAUGCCUUCUUCAUUGCCUGUUACUGAUACGAUCGGGCAGCUACCCCGAAGGUUUUGGAUGUGUUGCAAAGAAAGUGCUGAACAGGAAAGCUUCGUCCCAAUUGUUUGCUACAAGAACCAGACAUUCUGCACGCCUCAGCGACGGAGCAGACAUCACCACAGGUAUGAAGGCCGAUGACAGAGAGCUAGUCUCCUUAGCGGAGGCCUGCUGGUCAAAGGUCAUGGCAGAGAGGCAGCACACGAUUGAAGAAACCUCCAAGAUGGAGAUCUCAGCGAGCCACACGGCUGAGACGGGGCCUGUCAGCAUGACUGACAUCAGCCCUCUGUGGGAGGAGAUGGCACGCAAAGCCUGGCUGAUACACACAGAGUCUCAGAAGAAGAAUGUGGCCGGCAGUACUCAGAAGAAGUUCGAUAUGAUCAGCAGCGCUGUUCGCUCAGCUUUGGGCAGACUAGGCAAAGAUUCGGUAACAGUAGAGGAGUUUCUGUCCUAUAUGGAGUCACAUCGACAGAGAGGCCACAGCAUGUUUGAGAACAUGAGGACAAACCACUUACAGUUAAGAGCCAGUGAGUGGGAGCGAGUGAGCUCCAAGUGGCUGCGUGUUGAGGCCGAGCUGUUGAGGGAGAGAGCUGUUUUCGGCCCUGGCCCAGGGCUGCUGCUGAGCCAAGACUGGGUGCAAGAUGCUGCUGAAGGACCCAACCGAACCAGAUCACGCAUCCGCAGAAAGGCUCUGAGACGUUCCAAACGGGUGCUAGGAACGCAGUGUCUGGGUUUAAGGACUGGCAUGUCUGAGGAAAACAAAAAUAGAGCAGAAGGAGACAUGGAGCCCAAGAUCCUGUGUGAAGUUGGAGCAGAGGCUAAAGAGGAUGAAGAGGAGGGAGUAGAGGAUUUUGACCGUCUGACCUUCUUCCCUGCCCUGAAUGAGACACCUGCUGUCACUGAUGGUCCAACCAACCCCUUGGCCCCUGAACCCUGCUCCCACACACAAGACUGCCACGACAUCCGCAUCAUCCUGCAGGAGCUGCGCCCUGGAGAGGAGGUAAAGGCUAAGAUGUGUGUAGUGACGGUGAGCGGCCUCAGAGUGACAGAGGGGGUGCUGCUGUUCGGGAAAGAGAGCCUGCUCUUGUGUGAGGGAUUCACUCUUAGUCCUGCUGGAGAUGUUUGUUGCAGGAAUCAUCACCCCAGCAGUGUGAGGGAUUCCUUUAUUUCCACCAUGCUGAGUAAAGAGCUGCCACCAGCCCGCUGCAGGUGCUGGCUCUAUGAGGAUAUCAAGGAUGCUCGCUUCAUACGUUUCCUCUUGGAGGACAACGCUAUCGAAGUCUUCAUGAAAAACGGACUUUCAGCCUUCCUUGUAUUCCUGAAUAAAGACCACGUCUCUGCAUAUAAAAGGUUGUGCAUGGUAGUGCCAGCAUUAAAAGGCAGAGGGGUUGCUGAGGUGAUUGCUAAUGCCAGGUAAGGUUCCACAGUCACAAUCAUCCAACGGCAAUAUUUCAAGACAGUAACAUGUAGUCACUAUCUUUAUUUUAUCAAUUAAAACAGUAAAUACAUAAAAAGAUUUUUGUGUGACAUAUAGUAAGUAUACUAUGCAAUGACAUUAGUUUGUGAUGCUGUUUGGUCAUUUGAUUGGCUUGUGUUCCACAUUUCUUAUUCUCCACACAUCUUGAUUGACUGUAGCCACUGAGUUUGGCACCAUCAGUCCGUGAUAAGUCCUUAUCCUUUUCUCCUCAAACACGUCACUUCCUCCUCCUCCUCUUGUAAGCCUUUGCCUCUGCUCUUGACAUGUCUGAAGGCAUGUCCUACACAGGCUGCUCUCAUGGACCAGAUACACAUCUUCCUCUGCUUUAGAUUUUUCCUUCUGCAUCCCCUCACCAUCCCUCUGAACAUACGAUAGAGGAUUUUCUUUCACGUUCACCUUUGUGAGGUUGCGUAGAACUUUCAAAAACUCUGGUAGAUUGAUGAAGCGGUUAUCAAACAGACCUAACUCUUGAAGACUAUGUAGAGCAUCCAUAGUGGGCGGCAGUGUGUCUAGCUGGUUCAUUCCCAGAUUGAGACUCUUCAGGCUGAUGAGAGACCCUAACGUGGACGGUAAACCUGCAGAGAUUAGGCGGUUGUUUGAGAGGUUGAGGUGGGUCAGUCCCACCAGGUUGCCGAUGGACUCGGGCACAGAUUCCAGCUUAUUGCUGUGUAGAUCCAACCAUCUCAAUGACGAGAAGUUCCCGAUGUUAUCUGGGAGUUUCUCUAUCAGGUUGCGGCUCAGGUCCAACUCAUCCACGUUGGUCAGUUUUAGGAGACACUUUGGGAAGAUCGUUAUAAGCAUGUUGCUUAGGGUGAGUCUGCGCCGUCCAUCCGCGGUCAUCCUUAUUGCCUUUUUGGCAAGCUUGAGGGUCAGCUUUGUCCCUUUGUCUCCCUUCCGUUUGGGCAUGGUACUGCAACACACAGAGAAUUAACAUGACAGUUUAAAAUUUCAGCACAGCUUCACUGUUGCCCCCAAGAGGCUACUUUCCAAUAAUUCAUCUUAUCUACACCACCACAUAGUACUAUAGCAAAUAAAUGUGUGUGUGUGUGUGUGUGUGUGUGUGUGUGUGUGUGUGUGUGUGUGUGUGUGUGUGUGUGUGUGUGCGUGUGUGUGCGCGUGCGUGCAGUGUUAUAUCUGCACUAGUGCGUGCUCACCCAGUGUUGCCCAUGGGUGUAUUUAAGAGCACAACUCUCUAAUUAAGGCUAAUGCAGGGGAACAAUAGGAGAGAGGCGACACUGGGUAAUACAGCAAAAACAAAUGAGUGCCGAUGCUCCCUCACCAUUCAACUGAUUGAGCUGUUUGGCUCUUUUCAUGCAAGGAAGGUGUGUGUGUGUGUGUGUGUCUGUGCUUCAUAUGGACGUCUCUCUCUGCCACACACAGUGUACUGACAGACAUGGAUGUACUCUAUUACAGUACAUGUGCGCGUGCACAAAGAGUCAAAUCAGGACUUUGAUAAAUGAUAGUUGGGGAGUGUGAUGAGGGCUUUGCUCUCCUUCCCUUCCUGUCUAAAAGAGCAAGGUGUGUGUGUCUGUUUGUGUCUGUGUUACACCCCAAGGCCCUCUCUCGCCUCAUUCAUCAUCCUCAGGAUGAGAGGGGUUAUCCGCUGGUGCUUGUUCCCAUUAUAACCUCCUAUAGAAAACUAUUGCAUGAAAUUAUUGCCUGCAAUUAGAUAACACAUACUGGGCCAAAUGCAAUGAUUGAUUUAGUGUAGUUUCACCAAAUAAUUUGGCCAGGAGUUAUUGGACGAAGGGAGGAGUUAUUGGUAGCCCCUCCCUGUCUAAACCCAUUUACUGUUUGCAUCCUUGUACGUUUUUCAGUUUGUAUCCUACUGUGUUCUUGUUUAAAACUUGUAUCUACAUUUUAAACAUGAAUGAAGAUAUGUACUCACCAUAUUAUGUCUUCUUUCUUUCCGAGUUGAUGAGUGUCUUCUGUUUUAGAAACACACCAACAACAGCUUUAGCUCCUGUGAACUGGCCAUUCAGCUCGAAGCCUCUCCCCCUUAUACAACCCCCCCCCUCCCACAUUACUGAAGUCACAAUGGUGUGGCACAGCAACAACACAUAAAACACCUUCUGAUUCGGUCAGCACGUAGAAGUUGUAAUAAUACCUGGUGAUCCUAUGUGGCGGCGAUUGGAGAGGAUAGAUCAGGAAUGCAGUGUUGCGUCUAUCACCAUCUCCCUGGUCUCCCAACACCAAACAGGGAAAGUCGAGGUUCCUCUUGUUUAAUAUCGUUACUUAGCAACUGGGGUGGUUGGCGCCAGGACUUUAUUGCCGUGUUACUGGCCUCAGAGGGAAAAGAGAUUUAAGGAGCAGUUGAAUGCUGGACUAAUCUAGGUUAAACACAUUUAGAUGUGUUGCAUGAGUGAAAUAUGGAGCAACAUUUGUCAUUUAUCUACUGUAGUAUAGAGGUUUUGUUUAGCCAAACACGUUCUGGUCAAUUGAUUAGAAAGAAGAUACUUUGAUCGAGCAGUUUACUCGGUGGUUUGUUAAAGAGAAACUUUUUGAGUCUGUGCCUAUUAAAGGAUCACCUUACAAUAUUCUUUGAACAAACACCUAACAACAACUAAAUGAAAAAAACAGCUGUAGUUUGUCUUAGUUAAGCAGGAAGUCUCAUUUUUCUUUAAAAUCAGUGAACUGUUCUGUUGUUCCUUGUUUAACCAGUAAUCAUUAACCUCUGCUUGUCAUUUGAAAACGCACUGCACAAGGACAAUACCACUUCCUCUUUUAAAUAUCACAUCUUGCUGAUGGAGGCUAGUCGGAUAACUUACAGUGCUACUUCAAGUAUAUUUCCUCACAAGCCACAGAUGUCAACAUGUGCUACUUCCUCCACAUCUCUACUCAUUAUUUAUGCUACAAGGUGUAGCUCACUUCCAUCCCAUAACUGCUCCUGCAGCUGUGUACACACGCGAAUUUCAGUUUCACUUGCUCACCUCCACUCUGCCGCUUCACAACUCCUCGGUUUGACAUGUCAACAUGGGUUGCUCGGCAACAGAGCUAGCAUAAAACUUUGUGUGGGGGGUGCAGUGAUUAGCCUCUGAUGCUAAUUCAUGGUAUUUGUUUGUUUUUGUUUUUUUAUUGUGCUUUAGGAAGACUCCUGUGGUUGAAAAGGCAGCCCUUGUUA